CUGUACCGGGGUUUUACCAUUACACCAACUUCUACGUUUCUUGCAAAACCUACAUUAUAUGUGGGAUUGAUAACAAAACACGUAAUUUCAGUUAUCAUGGUUGUAGUUUAGAUUUUUAUAUUUGAGAUAUUGUAUACAUUUUUUAAAUACCUCAUCCAUGUUUUCACAUUAGUCAUUUUUCACUUUGAUGGGGUUUGACAUGCUUAUAUCAUGCAAUAGGAAUGACUUUAAAGUUAUCAUUUACAUCUUAUUCGGGAUUCAGAUCAUAAUUCAUGUGUUCUUGAGUUCACUAGUUUUGGUCAAUUCUUUCCAACUUCAUUUCUAGCCACUUUAGUUCAUUCCAACACUUGAAUUAUAUCUAGUUAAGACUAUUUCUAGCAUUCCUUUAGGUUUACCAAGCAUAGAUUGGGUUUUGACCCUUUAAACCUAGCUUUUUCAAGCUUUUACAUACUAACUUCUCAGGUUAUUGCAUACAUUAGCAUUCCAACACUUGGAAUGGCCUAGCAUAACUCUAACUCAGUUGUCUAAGGUGUCCAAACUAAGUUCUAGGCCAAAUGAAAAAAUCUCAAAUUUUCAUACUUAGACAAAUUUGCAAAAGCUAUAGUUUUAAUGAUUUUCCAUGCUAGUUUGGUGAUUUGUUUAAACUUCUUGGUUAAGACAAGAGCUUAACCACUUAUUAGCCCUACUUCUAGACCAUACUACAAGGUAUUUUAAUCAAGGUUUAAGUUUUUUGUUCAUGCCCAUUAAGCUCCCCAAAAACAGAGCUCAAACUAAGAAAUUUUCUUACUUUUUUUACAAAACUGAUUUUGUACUUUUUCCAAAUUUUUCCAGUUCUGGCCACUAGGAUAGUCUAGACAUAUAUUUAAGUUACUUAAGGUUACUUUUAGCAUCACCACACUUUAUUUAAUCAUCUAGCUCAUUUUGACUUAUCAAAGCUCACUUUAGGCUUGAAAAAGAUAUCUUAAAUUGAUUUUCUUGCUAGCUUUGGUCAUGGUCAUGUUUGGGAAUCAUUACUAGCAUGUAUGAGCAGCUUUGUAUCUGCUCAUAACAGUCCUUUAAGGUCAGGUACUAUGAAUUGUCCAAAAUAGUCCAUUUUUUACUUUAAAAUGUGAUUUUUAACAAGUCUCAUGCUCAAAAUGGCUUAGACUUAGUUCCUUUAGCUUGUGUAGCUUUCUUAUGUCCUAUUAUGACUAUUGAAACUUGCCUACAUGGUCCAUGUAUGUUAAUUUUGUAGUUGAGUGUUAGUUGACAUUUAAAGCUAAUUUCUUUUAGCGUGAUUUUUGGGCAAUACCCAACUUAGGCCUUAACUAACCUAAGGGACAACUUUUAAAUGAUAUAUAUAGGUAAUAUAGGGACUUCAUACUGUCUCAAAACUUCAGUUGCCAAAAUUUACUAUAACAAUUCAUAUAUAUGCAUAGUUUUGAUCAUUUCAUAAACUGUCCAUAUGAAGGCAAAAGAAACCUUUAGGCAUUCAAACAACUUUUAAAACAUGAUAUUAAUAUUACCUUAUAUCAAUUAUCAUGCUUGUAACAGUUAGUUGUCUUUCUAAUAUUCAAAACAGUCCAUUCAAAGCAUUUUGAGCAUAGUUUAACACUGAAUUAUCAUAACAGUGCCCAAGUAUUCAAAUACAAACAUUAUCACACCAUAUAUUUACUAUAUACACUACAUACAUGUUUUAACACACAUGAGUGCAAGGCUUUCAUGCUUUUGACCAAAACAGCCCAUUUCUAGGCUUUGUAGGCAUAGUUUAAUACUAAACCACCAUAACAGCCUUCAAGCUUUCAAAUACAAGUUUUACCACAACAAGUACAUGCCAUAUACUAUAUGUUCAAGGUUUAAAACAUCUAUAUUCAAGGAUUCUAGCUUUAGUUCAAAACAUCCCCUAGUAGGCUCUUAAAUGCCACAAGGAAGCAUGGUUUGACAAUCCAGUUAACAAAAUAGCAUGGUUAUACAACACGUCAGCUUUGACUAAUCUUUUACAUAAGAUUUAACAUGUACAGCUUAAGUCCGGAUGGUCUACAUCAGUUUACAUAUUGACAGUCCACAACAAAGCCUUUAGCAAGCAUUCAAGCUUUCAAAACAGGGGCAUGGUCCGGCCUGUUUUAAACAGGUCCAAACUACCCUAUUUUGACUAAGAAUGAAACUUAAAACUUCACCAUUAAUAGCCUUCAAGGUUUGGUAUAUUUACCCCAUGUUAUAACAUAACAACCUCACUAGAAACAAGGCAUAACAGUUGUAUGAUCUGUUUCUAAUAACAGUCAACAUGACUUUACUUGGGCUUCUAACAAAAUUAUCAUGGUUUGUACAUUACAUGGAAACAUGCUACACUUAAUCAUGGAAUGAGACUUAAGACAUUACUCUUACUAUGAUAGCAUAUAGAUAUGGUUUUAGACUUGAUCACACAGCUAAUAUGCUUUUAAUACAUAACGGCCCUUAUUUAGUCCAUUUGUCAAAUAGGUAGUGUGCAAUCCACAUAUAGACACAUAGUACAUAAAGAAAAAUAGUCCUUCAAGCUCUUAACACAAGUGUUAUAACAUCAUGUAUUUGCUAUAUAAUAUAUAUUCAUGCUUUAAAGAGUCUAUAUACAAGGCUUCUUACUGUAGUUCAAAACAGAACUUAAAAAAAUGCCCAAUCAUAACAAUUUUAACUUUUUCCCAGCUUUACCCUCUCUCGCUAAAACAGUCAUAACUUUUUCGUUUCAAAACAUUUUUGAGCGAUUCUUGAGCCCACGCGAAGAUAACUUCUGGGGCUACAACUUUCAUUCUUUGACCAUUCUCAAAUUCAAAACACAGAAUUACAGAAUUUCGUGCAAAGGGGACUGGUCGGAAUUGGUUGGACAGUUUUGACGCGACUACUUUGAAUUGUCGUAACUCUUUACUACGAAGUCGGAAUUAGUUCGUUUCGGAGUCUAUGGAAAGCUUAUUAAGUGUACUAUAAUACCCCAAAAGCCUAAAAUUUUUUGGAUACAUAUACUGUCCCCGAAUUUAUGUUUUAGGGUCAGCAGUCAAACAAUCUAUCGGACUUUUCGUUUUGUCUCAAGUGUUAAUCUACCUUAGAUUGUUAGUUAUUUUGAGACAUGUUAAGGUCAAGCAUAGAGUAUGCUUAUAUAAACAAUUUGACACUAGUUUGGACUCUUAAUCAUAGUUAAUAUUCAUAGAUGCCACAUCAGUCCUUAGCUUGGCAAUUUAUUAAACUGGUAGAGUGCAGUUUAUAUACAUACCUAUAAUACAUAUAUUCUCAGUCACUUGGUCCCAGCCUUAUGGCUUUAAAACAACAAUGAUCUUUAAGCAUAAUGACAAUUAUAGCAAACACCACCUUUUUCACAUAAUAAUCAUUACAGAGAAUUCAUAGCCAAUACAAAAGUAGCCUAACAUGGUCACAAAGCCAUCCGGCCAAGACUGUCCUAUCUGUUUAUUAACCAGAGCAUGGAAAAGGAUUGGAAAAGGCCAGAAUUACCUUAUCUUGCUGCUCCGAAGAUUACCAAUGAGUUGAGCUUCUCUAUCUCUCCUACUUUUCAAUCGGCUCUCUUUCUUUUUCUUUCUUACUGUGCUAGAGUCUUUGGAGAAUCAGCAAAGUGGUGGAACCUUGGGUUAUAUAACUGAGUCCUCUCUCUCAGUCAGUCACACUAAGCUUGGCCCCUAAUCUGCUUCAUUAUUAUCCUACACAGCUCUACUUAGUCUAACUUCAGUCCCCUUUCUUUGAGUUGCCUCCUAAGAGACUACCCCUAGCAGACAGUUGGCUCCUAUGUAGCUUCUUAUCUGGCCCUAUACAGCAACCUAUACUGGCCUCUUGCAGCUACUUGACCCCUAACAGCCUCCUAUAACUUAGCCUCUAACUAAGUACAAACCAACUAACUGAUUUCUCUCUUGGAACCAACUAUGCUAACUGUUCACUAAUAAUACUCAGCUCAUUUAACCCAACGUGGACUGCUGGGAUGGCCAAUAAAAUGGGUUAUGUAUGGAUUUUUAAAUUGGGCUUCAUGUAAAAUUUUAAUACUAGUAAAAUCCAUAACUCUAACAAUUAUGAAGGAGGCUUGCAAGAAUAUAUAUACUAUAAUUGGGUUAGCCCAAUUUAUAUAUAUUGGACUUUUAAAUAAAGUAUGGGUUCAAAAUCUUAAAAGGUAAUGCAACACAUUUGCAAGCAUACUUUGCAAAAUUUAAUGUGGUCCAAUAUUUCAUUAUGGACUUCUAUUAAAUUUAAAACACAUGAAUUUUUAUCUAUCAAUUUCCUUUUAGGCUAGCAACAAUAGUUUGCACAUAUAUCAUUAAAAUGACAACUCUAUUUAAUUUACAAAACUCGUGAUAAUACAUACUUUUGACUUUAUUUGGCAAUAAUUGCCAUUAUUGAAUGAUUUUAAUUAUAUUAUAAUAUAAUCAUUUCUUUAAACAUAUAGAUAGCUUUAUGCCAAGAAUCUUUCUCAAAUAAGUCAUGUUGGCUUUUCUUUUCAUUCUUGAUAUUGAAAUAUCAUUUUAAUAAUGUAUGUUAUUCUUCUCUUCCUUUAAUAAAUUGCCCCUACAAUUUAUAAAUAGAGAAUACCACUAUAUUUAUUAAGCAUAAGCAUCACAUAUUGCAUAGUUCAUACCCACGUAUGCAAUAUAAUAUCAUACAACAUAUUAUCUAAUAAGAAUUUUAUUUUUUUAAUUCUUAUUUUAAUAUUACCCAAAAUUUGGGUUAUCACAUUCUUUUCCGUCCCCGAAAUCAUAAUACCGAAACAUUCUUAAUCGGUUUAGAUCUUAUUCUUUCUCGUAACCUUAUCGUUGAAUCAUUUCAAUAUACCAUUUCCUUAGAUUUUUUUCUUAAAAAUCUAAAAUAAAUCAUCUAUUUUCACUCUAGGUUUUAAACUUUAACAUUUAAUUUAAUCAUUCAAGAUCUUCUAAAUUUUCGGGUUGUCACAAUAUUUAUGCGGUGCUAUGUCUAUGUUUGUGUGUCAGUUCGACGCCCAAGGCAUGUUUUGGUCUCUUUUUGACUAUUUUUCUAAUUUUCAAUUGAAUAGUUCGUUUAUAGAUAUUCAAAUGAGCAUGAGAUAGCCACUCUAAGCACUUUUAAUAGUUGAUGAGUAAAUUAUUAUGCAUUUGCAUUGGUCUUUUUUAGCAUAAAUAGUCAUUAUGUUCAAGAAUGAAGAAAGAUAAUUUCUUCUGGUUUUAGCUUAGUAAAUGGUCUCCUUUGUUUCUUGCAUACUAGUAUAAGAAAGCAGUGGUGUGAGUCCUAUACGAAGUCAUCUUCUUGAUUUUCUCAACCUUUUAUCUAACCAAAACUAAAUUGCUAAAAAAACCCUAUAUUUUAAGGCAUACAAUCCAAAACCCACAAAAUUCAAAAGAUUUCUAAUUGUAACUCCAAGUAAGAAUCCCACACUAUUAAUUUGACUCUAGUAUACCUCAAACAAACUCAAAUGUAAUAACAAAUUGCUAAGGGCUAACACAUAAUAUGUAGAGCAGAACCAUUUUACACAUUACAAAUUGCUAACACAUAAUUUUUACACUACAGUAUGCUAACAUAUAAUAGAGAUGGAUAAAGCUCAAAAAGGGUAGAAUAUAUACUACUUAGCAGGAAAGAAAAUAGAAGCAUGAGAACAUAAAUAAAUUGAAGACCCAAAUUAAACGCUAACAUAAAUAAAUUGGAACUUACAAAUUAAAGCCUAAGAAUAAAAAAAUUAACUUACUAAUUGAAGCUUGGAAAAUGGAGAACCAGCAGAGGUGGGAACGAAAAAGAGGUGGAGGCGCAGGUUACUUGUAACAGAGUAGGCCAAAGAAAGGGGAUGAAAAAAGGGGAAGGCCAGACGAUGAGAGAGACGGCCAGAUGGUGAAGAGGACGAUGAUGAAGAUGGAGAUGGCAACAGCAAGGAUGAGGUGUAGAAGCAACGACGAAAGAAAGAGAGGGAAAGAACAG
rnacentral:lncRNA from 1 species